rnacentral:sRNA from 1 species
UGUUGUACGGAUAGUACGUGGGGGUCGG